rnacentral:rRNA from 1 species
AUACGGAGGGUGCAAGCGUUAUUCGGAAUUACUGGGCGUAAAGCGCGUGCAGGCGGGUGGACAAGUCUGAUGUGAAAGCCCCGGGCUCGAACCUGGGAAGUGCAUUGGAAACUGUUCAUCUUGAGUGCUGGAGAGGAAGGGGGAAUUCCCGGUGUAGAGGUGAAAUUCGUAGAGAUCGGGAGGAAUACCAGUGGCGAAGGCGCCCUUCUGAACGGCAACUGACGCUGAGACGCGAAAGCGUGGGGAGC